rnacentral:lncRNA from 1 species
CAACAAUGACAAAUUCAAUUGGCAACUUGGCUGGAGGUGUCUUGAACGAAAACUCAGGUCCAGACCCGCCACACCGGUAAAAGUAAGUGGUGCUUGCCUCCAAUGGUCCAAUCACAGCAUUGUGGAUCUUCCCGGAGGUGUAGAAAAAAUAUUGAUACUUUGUAUGUUCCCCCUCUGCUUUUGCACUAUAUUCCCCUGCUUUUGUUCCGUACUCGACUAUAGUUUCAGCGUCCUUGUCUUCUGUUAUCCACGAUACUCUCAUCUUAUCUUUCCCCACCAAUGAAAUAUGCACCUGCACAUUAAUAACAUACAGCUUGCAUAAAAUUGAUACCUUGUGAAAAUUGAAAUCAUGCAACUAACUUAAUUAUGUACGGUGAAUUACCUGUUGGGGCUCCGAAUCGGAACGAUGGUGGGGAGUGAUGAUGAGAUUCCUGGCGGGCUGGCGAACAAAAUCUCCAGUACUCUCUUGAGAUAGUAAAGGUUGUGGGAACAAAAGGAGGCAUAGGGUGUGUAAGAGGAGCGGGAAGGCCAUGAGAGAUUUACUAAAUUUCUUCAUUUUGUUGUUUUGGCUUGAACUUGUUAAUGGAUGUAACUUGUAGCUGUGAGUGAAGGGUCUUAAUAGGGAGGACGAGAUAUAUAAUGGGGUUGCAGAAAGAAGACUUGUUGAGAUGAAACUCAUUUAUUUAAAAUAGCAAUUUUUUGUUCACUUGGAUUGGGGGAGGCCGGGAGGGUACGUGCUUGCAUGUGUUUCCUAGUAUAAGAUUUGUGAAAAAUAUGUUAUCUUAAGAGUUCCAGCAAAGACCAACUGGAAGUCUAUAUUCCAUCGUACUUAAACCUUGUUUGUUUAAGAGAGUACAUCACUAAUCCCCUCACCACGUUGUGUAUGCAAUAAACGAUAAGUAACUGAUCACGAAAUAUGUUUUAUUAAUUAAUUUCCAUAUAUAGAUAAUAAUUGAACCGAACCUCAUAUAUAUGAUUUAUGGGACGAUGCAAACUUAUCACCCACCACGUGUUUAGGGUCAAAAUUUACACAAUUAAUUCUAUAUAUGGACCGAACCUCAUAUAUAUGGUUUAUGAGACGAUGCAAACUUAUCACCACGCCACGUAUUUAGGGUGAAAAUUUACACAAUUAACUUCACAUAUGGAUAGGUAAGAAGGUGUGUUAGUGUGUAUAUAUAUAUAUAUAACCCGCCACACCGGUAAAAGUAAGUGGUGCUUGCCUCCAAUGGUCCAAUCACAGCAUUGUGGAUCUUCCCGGAGGUGUAGAAAAAAUAUUGAUACUUUGUAUGUUCCCCCUCUGCUUUUGCACUAUAUUCCCCUGCUUUUGUUCCGUACUCGACUAUAGUUUCAGCGUCCUUGUCUUCUGUUAUCCACGAUACUCUCAUCUUAUCUUUCCCCACCAAUGAAAUAUGCACCUGCACAUUAAUAACAUACAGCUUGCAUAAAAUUGAUACCUUGUGAAAAUUGAAAUCAUGCAACUAACUUAAUUAUGU